UGUGAACUGCCCUGAGACCUCCAGGUAUACGGCGGUAUAUAAAUUCAAUGAAGAAGAAGAAGAAGAAGAAGAAGAAGAAGAAGAAGAAGCUGUGAAUGGAGCAAGGCGGGGGAGGGGGGCGACAAUUCAUUCAUUAGCCUGCAAAGUGGUCUGAGCCUGACGUGCUGAUAGUCAACAAAAAAACAACAAAACUCCACCAGCUCACACAAGGUAAUGGUUCGUUAAACGAGCAGCCACGAAGGAUGGCUUAAUAUAUUUCCACCAAAUCAAAGCGGCUCGGAGCUCCACCCAGCUCCAAGGCAACAGCAAUCCUGGGAACGCUCCCAUUUGCUGACGUAAAAGAGAGAAAACGAAACCAGCUCCCUCUCUCCCUCCCUUCCCGGUGACUCCGCCAUGGCUGCCACUCGGGGUCCCGUCCGGGAUCUCUGCGAGGAAGCCACUUGCCCCAUCUGCCUGGAGUAUUUCCAGGAUCCAGUGAUCAUCCCGGAGUGCGGGCACAACUUCUGCCGAGCCUGCCUGAUCCAGUGCUGGGAGAAAUCCGAGGGAGAGGCUUCCUGCCCUCAGUGCAGGGAAACAGUGGAGCAAGGCAGCAUCAGGAAAAACCAGCAGCUGGCAAAUGUUGUGGAAAUAGCCAAGAAAUUUAGUCAUCUGGGGGGGAAAGAGGAGGGAGAAGGAAAGGGGAAGAUCUGCGAGAAGCACCAGGAGCCCCUGAAGCUGUUCUGCAAGGAGGACCAAAGCCCCAUCUGUGUGGUGUGUGACAGAUCCAAGGAGCACAAAAGCCACGAGGUGGUUCCUCUGGAGGAGGCGUCCCAGGAGUACAAGGUAGGAAAAGGCAGUGGUUCUUUCUUGGGGGUGGAAUAGCUGCAGACCAGAGGGGCUUUCAAAAUAAAAAAUAAAUAUAAAAUGUUGUAAUAUAUUUUCUCCUCUUGCAGCCCAAAAGGAAUUCUCCAGCAAGAGAUCUUGUGCAGCCUGAUAAGACUAAACUUCUGAAACUUUAUACAAUAAGCAUUUAUUUUCCUAUCUGAGGGAUUUAAAGUGUGCCCAGUGACCACCUCAAUGCAGGCUGCAGUAACUCCCCGGGAGGAAAGAUUACAACAUCGAGGAUUAAUUUAAUAAAAAGGAGGGGGGACAUGUUGGAGGUGUGUUCAGUGUGGGGGACAAAUAGUAAAACCCCCAUGUUUCUCAGCUCUGAUAUAGGGCAGCCCCAUUUCUGCCUCAUCUGGGAUGAAAAAGGGGAACCUCUGCAAAAGACCCAGCGAUGUGGGGCAGGGAGCACACAUACAUUCAGCUUGCCUGUUAAUGUGUAACGCAGCCCAAUUUGGAUUUUGUUUUCUUUUUAGGAUCAGAUCAGCAGCUGCCUAGACAAUCUGAGGAAGGGGAGAGAGAAAAUUCUGAAAUUUAAAGCAGACACAGAAAAGGAAAGCCAAGACCUGCUUGUAAGCACCAUUGUUACUGCUUUAAGGAGAAAAAAUGCUACAGUCUAGAAUCAAUAUGGGGGGGGGCGCGGAAAUGAAUAUGGAAUACAGAAAGGGGUUUCUUUUUGAACAGCCUGAUCUCCUACAGAGCAUGAAAGACCAUUUAAAGGAGGGGGUGGGCUUGUAAGUUUUUACGAAGCUCUUUCUCUGCUGAAUAUGUCAGAAGUGGCCUUCCAAGGGAAUUGGGAUAACUGCCCUCUUCAUCCUGCAAGAGCAGACUAGAUGCCUGAUCUUGGCCCACUGUUCUCUUCUUUCAACCUCUUUGCUGCAGAAACAAACAGGUGCAGAGAGGGAAAAGAUGGUGGCUGAGUUCAGGCGACUGCACCAGUUUCUGGAAGAACAGGAGAAACGUAUUCUGGCCCAGAUGGCAGAAGUAGAGAAGGAGAUUGCAGCCAAAAGGGAGGAGCUCCUGGCCAGACUCUCCAGGGAACUCUCCUCUCUUGACAGCCUCAUCCGGGAGAUGGAGGAGAAGCUUCAGGAACCAGCGAGUGAACUCCUGCAGGUGAGGCCUCAUCCUGAUGUGAGAGGGUGGAGUGUGCUGCUUAGUCACAUUAAAAUGCUACCGGAAAGAAAACAGUACAUGAAAAAUGAAAGGCAUCAGUCCUGGGGUCGCAAAAGGGGCCUUGCUAGAUCAAACCACAGGCUCCUUCAUUCUAGCAUUGUGUUCUCUCAUUGGCCAACCAGAGGUCUCUGAGAAGCCUAAAAAACAGUAGUGCUCUCCAAACCUGUGAUUCCCAGCAGUUGCCACUCAGCUGCUUAGUAUUUAUAACUGACUGCAGAAAUGGCUCCACUGACAUCUUUCUUUCUUUCUUUCUUUCCUUCCAGGAUAUUGGCAGGUCCUUGCAGAGGUAAGUGAUGGGAAACCCCUGCCUUAUUCUGAUGCCACAAAAGUUCCUGUUUAACGAGUGAGAAACUCACUCUCCAGUUUCUCCUUCUAGAGAUAGCUUAGGACUCCAUCGUCUAUUUCACAAAAUCACAGACAAAAAUAGGGACACAUUUUUGUGGUAGCUAUUGGUCCCAUCUACUGUAAAAUUACAGACAGAAAGCUGUUCCUAUUGCAUAUUUCUGAAGGCCCUUCUCUGUGAUGGAAUCAUUUACUCUGCAAUUGAUACAAAACAAGUGGACAUUCCAAAGGGGCUUGUAAAUAUCUUCACUAUAAUUUACCCGUAAAUAUUUGAUAUAUUUCAGGUUUUUGUAGGUUCUUCCUCAGCCAUAAGAAUGUGAGAAAGGGCCCAGCUGGAUCCGGCCAGUCACUCAUCAAGUCCAACAUCCUCUUUUCACAGUGACUAACCAGAUGCCAGUGCGAAACCCGCGAGUAGGAUCCGGGCCCCAGAGGACACUCCCCUCUUGUGGUUUCAGCAACUGUAGUUCAGAGGCACCACUGCCUUUGACCCAGCCAUGAUGAAGAGUAGCCUCUGAGAGCCUUGUCCUCCAGACAACUUCAAAAACUCAAGAAUUUUGAAAAUCUGCCAUGUUUAGAAAAUAUUGCUUUAAUUUCUAAUAUUUUCUCCAUUUUUAAAAUAUAACCACUGUGCUAAAAUACAUUUAUAAUGUUAAUUGCAAAAGCCAUUCUAAAGCAUUCUGAACUUCUUUAUAUUUCAGAAAUGCACAUACCAAAUCUAUUAUCUUCUACUCAUUUAUGCUUCAUUAAAACUAGUGUAGUCCUAACUUACACUUAAAUAUCCAGUGUAUUCAGGCUCUUGCAGAUUCUUCCUCAAACAUAAGAAGGUGAGAAAGAGCUCUGCUGGAUCCGGCCAGUGGCCCAUCUAGUUUUCACAGUGAAUAACCAGAUACCAGUAGGAAACCCGUGAGCAGGAUCCGGGCCCCAGAGGACACUUCCCUCCUGUGGUUUCAGCAACUGCAGUUCAGAGACACCAUUGCCUUUGAUCCAGCCAUCAUGAAUAGUAGCCACUGAGAGCCUUGUCCUCCAGACAACUUCAAACACUAAUGAAUUUUGAAAAACUUCAAUGUUUAGAAAAUACUGCUUUAAUUUCUAAUAUUUUCUCCAUUUUUAAUAUAUAACCACUGUGCUAAAGUACAUUUUUAAUGUUAAUUGCAAAAGUCAUUCUAAAGCAUUCUGAACUUUCUUAUAUUUCAGAAAUGCACAUAUAGUGGUACCUUGGUUGUCAAUCCGUUCCAGAAGACCAUUCAACUUCCAAUACCUUCGACAACCAAGGCACACUCUCCCAUUGGGGCAAACGCUCCAGAAACAACAGUCAACAGCCACGUCAGACAUUCAACUUCCAAGGCGCGUUCAAAGACGGAGAACGAGUUUUCAGCGUUCGGGAGCUGAAACGUUCGACUACAGAGGCGUUCAACAGCCGAGGUUUGACUGUACCAGAUCUAUUUAGUUUUGCUCAUUAAUCACUUGAAAUGUUUCACUAAAACUGGUUUAGUCCUAAAAUCUUUGUGUAAGGACCCAGCUUCUUUACCUUCAAUCUCCUGUUCCUAUAUUUCCUUCAGUAUAUUUUGGAAGCAGGUGUGUGUCGGUUUUCCUUCAACUUGUUAGGUGCUCUCUAGAUCCACAGAUUCCUUUUGCCAUAAUAAUAAUAAUAAUAAUUUAUUUAUACCCCACCCAUCUGGCUGGGUUUCCACAGCCACUCUGGGCGGCUUUCAACAGAAUAUUAAAAUACAAUAAUCUAUUAAACAUUAAAAGCUUCCUGAAACAGGGCUGCCUUCAGAUGUCUUCUAAAAGUUUGGUAGUUGUUUUUCUCUUUGACAUCUGGUAGGAGGGCAUUCCACAGGGCGGGUGCCACGACCAAGAAGGCCCUCUGCCUGGUUCCCUGUAACUUGGCAUCUCACAGUGAGGGAACCGCCAGAAGGCCCUCGGCGCUGGAUCUCAGUGUCUGGGCUGGAUGAUGGGGGUGGAGACGCUUCUUCAGGUAUACUGGACCGAGGCCGUUUAGGGCUUUAAAGGUCAGCACCAACACUUUGAAUUGUGCUUGGAAACGUACUGGGAGCCAAUGCAUAGGAAAAACCCUGCUCCCAAGUCUUCAUGGUGCCUUUAUCAUCAGGAUGAGACACCUGCCUUGUCAGAAAGCUCCUUGCAAUGGAAGGAUGGUGGCUUCACUUUGUUCUUCUCAUCCAAGGUCUCAGGAGAAGGAGAACUUAGAGGAUCCUCCUGUGGCUUUUCCUCCUGCCCUGAAGUGGAAGAUUUGGGAGUUCUGUGAUAUAAAUCCCUUCCUGGAGGAGUCAUGAAGAAAUUCAGAG